GACGAACGCUGGCGGCGUGCUUAACACAUGCAAGUCGAACGGUGAAAGCGGAGCUUGCUCCGCUGGAUCAGUGGCGAACGGGUGAGUAACACGUGGGCGACCUGCCCCUCACUUCGGGAUAACUCCGGGAAACCGGGGCUAAUACCGGAUAUGACCUCCUUGGGCAUCCUUGGAGGUGGAAAGUUUUUCGGUGAGGGAUGGGCCCGCGGCCUAUCAGCUUGUUGGUGAGGUAGUGGCUCACCAAGGCGACGACGGGUAGCCGGCGUGAGAGGGCGACCGGCCACACUGGGACUGAGACACGGCCCAGAGUCCUACGGGAGGCAGCAGUGGGGAAUAUUGCGCAAUGGGCGAAAGCCUGACGCAGCAACGCCGCGUGCGGGAUGACGGCCUUCGGGUUGUAAACCGCUUUCAGCAGGGAAGAAGCCGCAAGGUGGCGGUACCUGCAGAAGAAGCACCGGCUAACUACGUGCCAGCCGCCGCCGUAA
rnacentral:rRNA from 1 species